UACGGGGGGUGCGAGCGUUGUCCGGAAUCACUGGGCGUAAAGGGCGCGUAGGUGGCCUGAUAAGGGUGUGGUGAAAGUCCGGGGCUCAACCCCGGAUCUGCCGUGCCGACUGUUGGGCUGGAGUACUGUAGGGGCAGGCGGAAUUCCGGGUGUAGCGGUGGAAUGCGUGAGAGAGUCCGGAGGAAGACCGGUGGCGAAGGCGGCCUGCUGGGCAGUUACUGGACACUGAGGCGCGACAGCGUGGGGAGCAAACGGG
rnacentral:rRNA from 1 species